rnacentral:sRNA from 1 species
UUCCAUACUUUUCUCCAUGUUUGGUA